rnacentral:rRNA from 1 species
CGGAAUUAACCCUCGGGUUAGUUUAGUGGCAAACGGGUGCGUAACGCGUAAGCAACCUGCCCUCAACUGGGGGAUAGCCCGGCGAAAGCUGGGGUAAACCCGCACGGUCCUUUGAAGUCACCUGACUUUUAAGGUAAACAUUGAUGGGUUGAGGAGGGGCUUGCGUCUGAUUAGCUAGUUGGCGGGGUAAGGGCCCACCAAGGCUUUGAUCAGUAGGGGUUCUGAGAGGAUUGGCCCCCACAUGGGUACUGAGAUACGGACCCA